ACUUCUUGUUAAUAACUUUUGAGUAAACUCUGGUGUAGUUUGGCCUCAUCCGUCUCAGUUCCAUCUGUGAAAUAUGCAUGUAGCAUUUGGUUGUUCUUUUUUCCUAAGUAACAAAGAAGUCGAAAUUGCAGUGAACUCUAGAGAAUUGGGAGAGUAAGCAACUGCUUUCAGAAACUGCAGUGAUAGCAUACCUUUUAGGGCACUUGAAAGGGCACUGAGUACCUUUUAGGGUACUCAGCUUCUUCCGCCUGAGGCAGUUGCCAUGCAUUGCUUCAUGGUAAGGCCGGUCCUGAUGCCAAUGUACAGAGUUCAGUUCCUCACAGCUUCCAGUUUGUCUAAAGUGAGCAUCAAAUAGAAUGGACUGGAUAGAAGAACAGCAGGGAAAACUUUUUCUCAAAGUUUGUCAUCAUGUUUAAUUGAAGAGAGAGGGAGGGAGGGAGUUGCCUAGAGGCAAAGUGUGUGCACACAUGGCCGUGCCAAUCUGUUGUAUAGAUUUUUUUUUGUUCCACCACAUAGCAAAUGGAAGCUUCAAAAAGUGGGGAAAAUAAAAGUGUCUUCCAAAGAAAAACACUGACUUGUCGAUGAGUCAGGGCCUGAAACGGCAUUCCUUUUGUCGCAGGCCCUCUUGGGAGUCAUCGAUUCCGGGAUGUGUGUGUUUUUCAGAACUCUGGGAAAGUGGAGAACGGAUUGCUUAAACAGAUUAAUCAUUUCCAAAAGAAAUAGUUGUGUAUCAUCAGGUUAGAUCCUGGUCAACAGACUGAGAUAGUGAGUUUGCCUUUAGCAAUCCUGCUGUGACCCUAAAUCAGCUGAGACACACAGAGAGAGAAUAAAAAGAAGAAAACAGGAAGCAGGAAAAUGUGAAGUACACUACAACCCACGUCUCCAUAAGAACCUAGAACAAGCUGAGUUGUUUGCAUUGAACCGGUCCCUGGGGAUUAAAAAGGUAUCACGUUGCUUCUACUGGAUUUCUUCCAUCUUUGACAUUUCGUACUACACACUCCCUCCCCACUUCUCUAGGCACAAUUUCUUUUUUUAUCUCAAUCUUCAAUAGUCAGGUGCUCUCUUAAAAGGUUUUGUUUAUGUCAAAAGAACAAGCAAACAAAAAUCAAACUGC
rnacentral:lncRNA from 11 species